GCAGUACCCUGACUGUGCAAAGGUAGCAUAAUCACUUGUUUUAUAAUUGAAGUCUGGCAUGAAAGAACUAAUGGGGAAAUACUGUCUUCUUUGGUUACGUAGAAAUUAUUGCUUAGGUGAAAAUACCUAUACUAACACAAUAGACGAGAAGACCCUAGAAAUUUUUUAUAAAACGAUUAAGUAAUUAGUAAUAUUUUGUUGGGGCGACAGAAUAACAUGUAACUUGUUUUAUUUAAUUAGUACAAUGUAGUGAGGUAAAACAAAUUACUCUAGGGAUAACAGCAUAAUUUAUUAAAGUUUGUGACCUCGAUGUUGGACUAGGAAUUUUAAUAGUCAGAAGCUAUUGAGGCUUGGC
rnacentral:rRNA from 1 species